rnacentral:lncRNA from 1 species
UUCCUUGGGGAAGAGGUCCUUUUACUCCUGUGGGAAUGAUUUGAACUCCCAUCUCUGGAGUUAGUACUGCUCUGGCGGAGGUGCAGAUGCCCAACCCUGCACUCCCUCUAGUUUGUCUGAUGAGGGAUUUAAUGGAUAAUGUGUCCUGGUCACUACCCUGAUGGUGUUGCUGGGUUCCUCCAUUGCUCCAUAUAUUUGUGGUUGUGGGCCCCGGAGCAUUGGGCCCCCCAGUCCGUUUUUUGGCAGUGGAGCCUGAUGCCUUUCUCCACGAUAUCGUGGGUAAACACUUGGUCCUUGUCCGUUUUUUGAUAACGGAAUACCCUCUAUGGUGGUUUGAGAACGGCAUUCAUUAGCCCAAUGUCUCCCUCUACGGCAUCGUGGGCAAAUACCCAGUAUUCUAUUCCUUUGAUACCUAGCUUUGUUAAACCCUCCUCCUAUGGGGCAACUCCUUUUAAAAUGUCCUGUUUGUUCACAAUUGUAGCAUGUUUUUGGCCUAGCAUCUAAAGCCUGUUGUACUGCUGCCAAGACUUGCCCUUGUUCAUUAAUGUCUCUACAUAAUUUAAUAUAUGUGUUUAAAUCUUCAUGUCUCCAUGGUCUAAUGACCUCUCUGCAGCAACGAUUUGCUUGGUCAUAAGCCAGUUGUUUUAUAAAUGGCAUUGCUUGUUCUAUAUCCCCCAAAAUUCUGGAAGCUGUUUGAAUAAGCCUAUCUACAAAUUCAGCGUAAGGUUCAUUAGUUCCUUGUAUUACCUUAGAUAAUUGUCCUUGUAAAUCUCCAUGCCCCUGUAAAGUUUUCCAUGCCCUAACCGCAUCUACAGCAAUUUGUGCAUAUAAGCCAGGAUCAUAUUCAAUUUGUUGCCGUUGACCCUCAUAAGGUCCUUUUCCUAACAACAUAUCUAGAUUUCUUUGAGGGUAACCGGCUGCUGCAUUUCGCCUAGCUGUCUCCGUGCAAAAUUCCUCAUUGGCAAACUUCCAUAACAAAUAUUGUCCUCCAUUUAGCACAGAUCGACACAUGUUAGCCCAAUCUGCUGGCGUCAUGUCCAAGUUGGUAAUGGAUUCGACCAUGCUCACAGUGAAGGGUGCUUGCGGACCAUAGGUUGUUACAGCCUCCUUUAAUUGCUU